GAUGAACGCUGGCGGCGUGCCUAAUACAUGCAAGUCGAGCGAACAGAUAAGGAGCUUGCUCCUUUGACGUUAGCGGCGGACGGGUGAGUUACACGUGGAUAACCUACCUAUAAGACUGGGAUAACUUCGGGAAACCGGAGCUAAUACCGGAUAACAUAUUGAACCGCAUGGUUCAAUAGUGAAAGGCGGCUUUGCUGUCACUUAUAGAUGGAUCCGCGCCGUAUUAGCUAGUUGGUGAGGUAACGGCUUACCAAGGCAACGAUACGUAGCCGACCUGAGAGGGUGAUCGGCCACACUGGAACUGAGACACGGUCCAGACUCCUACGGGAGGCAGCAGUAGGGAAUCUUCCGCAAUGGGCGAAAGCCUGACGGAGCAACGCCGCGUGAGUGAUGAAGGUCUUCGGAUCGUAAAACUCUGUUAUCAGGGAAGAACAAAUGUGUAAGUAACUGUGCACAUCUUGACGGUACCUGAUCAGAAAGCCACGGCUAACUACGUG
rnacentral:rRNA from 1 species